ACCGGUGCACGGGUGCGUAAUGCGUAUGGACCUACCUCUUACUGGGGAAUAGCCCGAAGAAAUUCGGAUUAACUCCCCAUAGUAUCGCAUGAUUAAAGUUUACGGUAAGACAUGGCCAUGCGUCCCAUUAGCUAGAUGGUAAGGUAACGGCUUACCAUGGCAACGAUGGGUAGGGGGCCUGAGAGGGUGAUCCCCCACACUGGUACUGAGACACGGACCAGACUCCUACGGGAGGCAGCAGUGAGGAAUAUUGGGCAAUGGAGGCAACUCUGACCCAGCCAUGCCGCGUGAAGGAAGAAGGUUUAUGGAUCGUAAACUUCUUUUAUUUGGGAAUAAACCUUUCUACGUGUAGAAAGCUGAAGGUACCAAACGAAUAAGCACCGGCUAACUCCGUGCCAGCAGCCGCGGUAAUACGGAGGGUGCAAGCGUUAUCCGGAAUCAUUGGGUUUAAAGGGUCCGCAGGCGGACUAAUAAGUCAGUGGUGAAAUCCCAUCGCUCAACGAUGGAACUGCCAUUGAAACUGUUAGUCUUGAAUUCGGUCGAAGUAGGCGGAAUGUGUCAUGUAGCGGUGAAAUGCAUAGAUAUGACACAGACACCGAUAGCGAAGCAGCCUACUAGAACUGGAUUGACGCUCAUGGACGAAGCGUUGAGAAGCCGACAGGCAUGUAUAGCCUGGUAGUUCGGCGGUC
rnacentral:rRNA from 1 species